rnacentral:rRNA from 1 species
UAGGGAAUCUUCGGCAAUGGACGAAAGUCUGACCGAGCAACGCCGCGUGAGUGAAGAAGGUUUUCGGAUCGUAAAACUCUGUUGGUAGAGAAGAACAAGGACGUUAGUAAACGAACGUCGCCUGACGGUAUCUAACCAGAAAGCAACGGCUAACUACGUGCCAGCAGCCGCGGUAAUACGUAGGGUGCAAGCGUUGUCCGGAUUUAUUGGGCGUAAAGCGAGCGCAGGCGGUUUCUUAAGACUGAUGUGAAAGCCCCCGGCUCAACCGGGGAGGGGCAUUUGUGACUGGGAGACUUGAGUGCCGAAGAGGGGGGUGGAAUUCCAUGUGUAGCGGUGAAAUGCGUAGAUAUAUGGAGGAACACCAGUGGCGAAGGCGGCUCUCUGGUCUGUAACUGACGCUGAGGCUCGAAAGCGUGGGGAGCAAACAGG